rnacentral:misc_RNA from 1 species
CUAAGCUCCAGGAACAACUUGUUUUGGCUAACCACUAUGCAUCAUUCCAGAUGGAAGAUGGGUUUCUUGUGAGACACCAUACUAAACUUGAGGGAGGCCGGAAAGUAUAUUGGGUUCCUAGGGAAGGCAUCAUUAGUUGCAGUUGCCAUCAGUUUGAGUUCUCUGGAAUUCUUUGUCGGCAUGCUCUCCGAGUUCUUUCCACAGGAAAUUGUUUUCAGAUUCCAGAAAGGUAUCUCCCCACCCGUUGGAGUAGAAUCAGCACAACUCCAGCGAAACUUCUUCACGGUUCUCCAAAUGAUCAUGGAGAAAGGAUACAGUUAUUGCAGAACAUGGUAUCAACUCUAAUAACUGAAUCUGCCAAGUCAAAAGAAAGGCUGGACAUUGCUACUGAGCAAGUUUCCAUCCUCUUAUCUCGCAUCAGGGAGCAGCCAGUUCCAUCACAUGGUGUGAGAGAGAUCGCAUCCACUCAUCAAAAUAUUUAGCCAAAAGACAAUACCAUUGUUUGAAUUAUCUUGGAAAGCAGGAGGAAACAUGCCAACAUUUUGGUAAAAAAAGCAAGUUGGCUAUAUCUGUGAAGCAAUGAUUAAAUGAAUUUACUUGCUCGUGGAUUGAAAUUCUGCAUGAAAAUUUUUGUA